UUACUGUAAGGAUAAGCACCGGCUAAUUCCGUGCCAGCAGCCGCGGUAAUACGGAAGGUGCAAGCGUUAUCCGGUUUUAUUGGGUUUAAAGGGUGCGUAGGCGGCUUAUUAAGUCAGUUGUGAAAUCCUAGUGCUUAACGCUAGAACUGCAAUUGAUACUAUUAGGCUUGAGUUAAGAAUAGGUAAGUAGAAUUUAUGGUGUAGUAGUGAAAUGCUUAGAUAUCAUAAGGAAUACCAAUAGCGUAGGCAGCUUACUGGUCUUUAACUGACGCUGAGGCACGAAAGCGUGGGGAGCAAACAGGAUUAGAUACCCUGGUAGUCCACGCCGUAAACGAUGAUCACUCGGUAUACAUAAAUUUAUGUGUGUCUAAGCGAAAGCGUUAGUUGAUCCACA
rnacentral:rRNA from 2 species